UACCAGACUCCUACGGGAGGCAGCAGUGGGGAAUAUUGCACAAUGGGGGAAACCCUGAUGCAGCGACGCCGCGUGAGCGAUGAAGUAUUUCGGUAUGUAAAGCUCUAUCAGCAGGGAAGAAAAUGACGGUACCUGACUAAGAAGCCCCGGCUAACUACGUGCCAGCAGCCGCGGUAAUACGUAGGGGGCAAGCGUUAUCCGGAUUUACUGGGUGUAAAGGGAGCGUAGACGGCAUUGCAAGUCCGGAGUGAAAGCCCGCGGCCCAACCGUGGGACUGCUCUGGAAACUGUAGAGCUGGAGUGCGGGAGGGGCAGGCGGAAUUCCUAGUGUAGCGGUGAAAUGCGUAGAUAUUAGGAGGAACACCGGCGGCGAAGGCGGCCUGCUGGACCGUAACUGACGUUGAGGCUCGAAAGCGUGGGGAGCAAACAGGAUUAGAUACCCGCGUAA
rnacentral:rRNA from 1 species